CGGGAGCUGCUCGUGGCCUUCGCCGGGUGCCUCGUGCGGGUGCCCCUGAGCCGCUGCCGCCGCCACGGCUCCUGCCGCAGGAGCUGCCUGGCUGCCCGGGACCCCUACUGUGUCUGGCUGCCCCCCGAGGGCUGCGUCCCCUUCUCCGAGGACCUCCCGAGUGGCUUCCAGCAGGACGUGGAGGGAUCCCUCGGGAUCAGCGGGACCUGCCAAGAGGUGCCAGUGGUGGGGCAGGACGGGGACGGGGACGAGGACGAGGAAGGGGACCUGGCCCAC